UUUAUUAUUGUUUUUCUUUUAUUUUGAUUAGAAUAUUUGAUUUUUCCCUUUUCUCAUCUUAUAUUUAAGAUACAUGCAAUCAAUAUUAAUUUUUAUUCUACUAUAAGUUUAAAUAUAUAUAUAUAUAUAUAUAUAUAUAUAUACUUGCUAUAAUAUUAAUACAUACACAAAUAGCUUUAGACUGUGGGAACCUGCCAUUUAUUGAUAAUUGUUAUGGGACUGUGAUUAAUGUUUGUGUCUGAUUCUAGGAAACGGGAUCAAAAAGGAGCACAGACUUAACCUGAAUAGUGCCAAAAGAGCACACGGGUCAAAAAAAGAAGAAACCGAGCCAGGUGUAACUGCUAACACUGAGAAUUUAACAACUGGUUCUUGGGAGCCAAUUUGAGCUGGCUUCAGCAUACCCAUGGAUCACAGUAAAAGAAACUGGAGCUGAGUGGCAUCAUCAUCCUGGGAAGACUUAACUCCAUCAUGUUGCUUCUCUUCUUUGGUCCUCUGUAAAAUGAGCAUCCUCACUGGAACUUCUCCAACUCAUUCUGGCAGGUUGGGUUUCCAAAACAGCUCCCUCAGCUCCAAGGUACUCUGUUGUUCUAUAUUUCUAUAGUUCAUAAUUAUCUCCCUGAACCUUUAGUGCUAACCCCAACCAAUUGUGCUUCCCUUUACUAU
rnacentral:lncRNA from 1 species